GUCGCGUUCGUCUAGACGGCCGAGGACACCACCCUUUCAAGGUGGGUACGCGGGUUCGAAUCCCGCACGCGACGCCA
rnacentral:tRNA from 2 species